GGGGAACAACAGUUAGAAAUGACUGCUAAUACCGCAUAUGCCUAAGUAUCGCAUGAUACAAUAGGGAAAGGAGCAAUCCGCUGAUAGAUGGGCUUGCGUCUGAUUAGAUAGUUGGUGUGGUAACGGCAUACCAAGUCGACGAUCAGUAGCCGGACUGAGAGGUUGAACGGCCACAUUGGGACUGAGAUACGGCCCAGACUCCUACGGGAGGCAGCAGUCGGGAAUAUUGCGCAAUGGAGGAAACUCUGACGCAGUGACGCCGCGUAUAGGAAGAAGGUUUUCGGAUUGUAAACUAUUGUCGUUAGGGAAGAAAAAGACAGUACCUAAGGAGGAAGCUCCGGCUAACUAC
rnacentral:rRNA from 1 species